CACGUAGGGCGCGAGCGUUGUCCGGAAUUAUUGGGCGUAAAGAGCUCGUAGGCGGCCUGUUGCGUCCGCUGUGAAAGCCCGGGGCUUAACCCCGGGUCGGCAGUGGAUACGGGCAGGCUAGAGGUAGGUAGGGGAGAAUGGAAUUCCCGGUGUAGCGGUGAAAUGCGCAGAUAUCGGGAGGAACACCGGUGGCGAAGGCAGCCCCCUGGGUCAAGAUUGACGCUCAUGCACGAAAGCGUGGGGAGCAAACAGG
rnacentral:rRNA from 1 species